AAUUUCAGGCUGCAGACUUGAAGUCUUUAGGCUGCAGACACUUCAUUGACAUGCUAAAUUAGAAAACUAGGAGGGAAAGCAGCCCCCCACCUCAAGUGCGAAGCUUCAGCUGAAGUUUUAAAUGGACCUUGGCAGAUAGGCUCUUCCUCUGAAGAACGUUUACACUUCUGUCUGUUCACAGUCAGACAGCACAGUCUAUUUCCAAAGGACUGCUCUGAUGGAUGAGUCUGAAAAAGGACAUAACCCAGUGUUUUCAACAGUUGCAUUGGUAGAGGCAGCCAGAAGGCACGUGCAGCCCAUUAGGAACCUCACACUACAGAGAGUAUUUCUUCACAUAGUAUAUUUAAAGGUUUUUCUUGAAUAUCAAUUAGUCCCAGAAGCAGCUGUACUCAUGGCCAGCUACUGCAUGUAACUGCUUCCUUCAGGGAUUCCCUUGCUGCUCUCCUGUGCUGCAGUUUGUUGUGGUCCUGAGUCCCCUCACUAUGAAUGCAGCCACAAUGAUUUCUUCUCCUUCAUCUUCCAUCCUGCCAUGUACUUCAUGACAUCAACCAUAUAUUUUCCUGCUAAUAAUAUCUUUUGUAAAUUUUAUGAAUAUGUCAGUUGCAAAUUGCUCAGAUGCUACACUGAGAGGCACAGAAGUGUCUUUAAGAGAAUCUGCAGCUUUUACUGAAGCAAAACACCAUCUGGAAUAAACAAUAUACUU
rnacentral:lncRNA from 1 species